GAAAGUUCUAAGUGAGCAGAAACAAGCUUUUCCCCCUUUUUCUUUAACUUAACUAGGCCCGGGUUAGUUUUGGUUUGCUCCGUUAGCGUACCCCCUUUCCUUUUGAAGCCUUCUGGGCAGGGCAGUAGCUCAAAGUGGAAUAAACGCAGCUGGGGUUAUUAAAGAAGCUUUAUCCGGAAUUCAUUUGAGGUAAUUCUUGCUGAUUUGUUUUUUCAAUUUUGUUCUGUCUGUAGCUUUCUUUUUUUUAAAAAAAAUUGAAUUUUGCUGAAAUUUUAAUGCAGAUUUGUAAAAUUUUCACCAAAUGAGGAGAUUCUGCACUUACUUAUUUGCUAGAAAAAAUUCAUGCUAUUCAAAUGUUAUAAGUACAUUGGUUCCUCUCACUGUCACUGUCACUCACUCUUCAACUCAUCAUCACCAACUACGAUCAUCAGUAACAGUCCCAUCUUUCAGUUUGUCGCCACCCACUUUUUCAGUUUCUUCGCAAUUGGAUUGCAAUGUUAGUAGUGAUGUUAGAUACUGCAGUUCCAGUUCUGUGAGUGAUGUUGCUAAGUUGUACGAAGCUAUUAUCGAUAAUUCAAAUGCAUAUGAUAAUAUGGAGAAGGCACUUGACAGUCUUGGUGUUCCGCUGACUACUGAUUCCGUUGUUGGGGUCCUUCAAAGGUUUCAAUUUGAGGAGAAAAUAGCGUUCAGAUUCUUUAUGUGGGCUGGUCAUCAGGAUAACUAUGCCCACGAGCCUCUGGCGUAUAAUCUUAUGAUUGAUAUUUUGUCUAGUACUAAGUAUAAGGCCAAGCAAUUUCGAUUAGUUUGUAGUAUGCUGGACUACAUGAAGAGGAAUAACAAGGUUUUUGUUCCCGUUGAUGUUUUGCUAAUGAUUUUGAAACAAUAUACUGAGAAGUACAUGACCAGUGUUCAGAAAUUUGCUACGAAAAAAAGGAUUAAAGUGAAGACACAGCCGGAGAUCAAUGCCCUUAACUUGCUCUUGGAUGCUUUAUGUAAGUGUGGUUUGGUUGAUUAUGCCGAGACCAUAUGUAAGAGGGUCAAGAACAAAGUUAAACCCAAUGCUAAUACCUAUAACAUUUUGUUUUUUGGGUGGUGUAGGGUUAGAAAUCCAAAUAGAGGAAUGCAGACGCUUGAAGAAAUGAUCCAAAUGGGUCAUGCUCCUGAUAAUUUUACGUAUAACACUGCCAUUGAUACCUUUUGCAAAGCGAGGAUGGUGACAGAAGCGGCUGAUCUUUUUGAGUUCAUGAGAACAAAAGGUUCGACCAUCUCUUCGCCAACUGCAAAAACCUAUGCAAUCAUGAUUGUGGCCCUUGUACAGAAUGAUAGAAUGGAGGAAUGCUUUUCACUUUUGGGACAUAUGAUAAACAGCGGUUGCCUUCCUGAUGUUUCAACAUACAAGGAAGUACUUGAAGGGAUGUGUCUGGCUGGAAAGGUUGAGGAAGCUUACAAGUUCUUGGAAGAGAUGGGCAAUAAAGGUUACCCUCCUGAUAUAGUUACUUAUAACUGUUUUCUUAAGGUCCUAUGUGAUAACAAAAACGGUGAUGAAGCGCUUAGGCUUUAUGGAAGAAUGAUCGAAGUGGGUUGUUGGCCAAGUGUGCAAACUUAUAAUAUGCUGAUUUCAAUGUGUUUUGAACUGGGUGAACCUGAUGGGGCAUUUGAGACCUGGCAUGAGAUGGAUAAAAGGGGUUGUGCUCAGGACGUUGAUACUUACUGUGUGAUGAUUGAUGGGCUUUUUGAUUGCAGUAAAGUGGAAGAAGCUUGCUUUCUGUUGGAAGAGGUUGUAAACAAGGGAUUGAAAUUGCCGUAUCGGAAGUUUGACUCCUAUCUGAUGCAGCUUUCUGUGAUUGGUGAUCUUGGAGCAAUCCACAAACUUUCAGAUCAUAUGAGGAAGUUUUACAACCCUGUUAUAGCAAGACGUUUAGCACUGAAUCAAAAGAGGGUUAGAAUAAGCUUAAGAGAGAAGUAGGAAGAUAGAAAUUUAGAAUGAAGAACAUGAAUGAAUCAACGAGAAUAUAUGUACGCACCCUGAUUGACAUUCAUUCAUUUGUACAGCUGUGAUUAAUAUGUUCAGAGGAUGUACAUUCUCAGGUAUUUGAUGUAAAACCAAUGCGAACGAGAGAAAAAACCAGAAUUUUUGUGUAAUGUUAGUGUUUUUGAUUAGCAUAGAUUUCAGAUAGGUUCACAGCUUUAUUGUUUAUGAGUUAUUGAAUUUGCCAGCUCUAAUUGUGAUUUUUUUUUGGGAAAAUGGCCUUAUGAUUAGUGUGUAAUUUUUUUUUCAACAAAUUUAACUUAAGUAGUUGUUGAAGCAGUAUUUUCGUUUGGAAAGAAUUUGACUGCUGUAGGAGAGAGAAACUUAAGAAAGGACUCUUGCUAGUGCGAGCUCUGGAGAACAUUUUUGUUUCUGUAGCUGUGUUGCAUAUGCAUGUAAUUUGAUUUAAAUUUCCCUGACCAAGUUUUGGUUUAUCUAAUUAUUCAUGUUGCUGCAGACUUAUCCAUGUGGCUGGCAGGAUAGACUAGGCCCUCCUUUGUAGUGCUGUUAUAUUUUCCAUAUUUCUAACAUGCAACUUUGUGACCUUGCAGUUAUAGAUGAUAGAUUUAUCCAAACAAAGUGAUAGGCAUGGGAUCCAUUUAUGGAUUUUGGAGGCAACUAGAAAGGAACGGUAUAUAGCCAAGCAAAGAUAUAUCAAAUGUUUGUCAACGAAAUGUUAUGUAGUCUCCAGCUUAAGAAUCGGUGAGUCAAAAUCUUGGAUACCAAAUAUUGCUGCUGCCAAUGUUUUGCACAUCAAAUUCAAUCUUUUAUAUAAAUUUUGCACACUUGUCGUUAGUUCUUUGUGGUUUUUGUUUCUAUAGGUUUAUAAGAAGUUUGUUUUAUAAGUGAUAAUGGGUGAUCUGAAAUAUGGGGGGAUAUGUGUUGACACCACCGUUUUGUGUUUUAUAAGUUUGUUUUAGUAUUCUUGCUCAAAUUUGUGUUUCCAAUAUUAUUGGGAUUGAAGGUACUGCCUUGAUUUCCAGAGUUGGUAGGACGCUGACCUUGGCUUCCUUUAUUGUUUUGGAAGUUCUUCGCGUCAAAUUGAUUACCAUUUUUUGAGGGAGAGAAGCAGGUAACAUUAGUGAUGAUAUUUCUAAGAUUUUCAGUAGAGCAAAGUUCCUCUCGUUUGAGAAAUGCUUCAUAUUUGUCAAGUUUGUUGUGAAGUUCAUCAAAGCUGAUCAUAUCUCUCACGGCAGUUGCAAGUUCCUUGAAUUGAGGACCCACCCGGUUGAGAGUGUGAGUAAUGAGGUAUUGAUCCAGAAAAGGUGCUCCAAUUAAAACCAAUUUAUCAGCAAGAUAUUCGACUACUGGUUGUGAACCUUGACUGAUGAGGC
rnacentral:lncRNA from 1 species